GGACACUGAAAUGGGGUCUGUCCCAGAAGC
rnacentral:piRNA from 1 species